GCCCAGCACGUGGGACGGUUCCCUGCCCGGGCACGCGCAGGGUGACGCCGAUGACGCAGGCGCUGAGGGCGGCGCAGCCGAGGCGAAUCCCGGCGCGAGAACUCGCAGGGCGAAGGCGAGGCUCUACUGAAGCCAGCGGGAGUUUUGUUGCCGCCCCCGCCAGGGCCGGGACUGUACCAACGGGCAACCACUGACAGCCAAUAGGGGAGCCAACCAAUAGCCCUGCCCACGCCCACGCCCAGACCACGCCCCUCAGCAGCUACCGCCCCGCCCCCGCUCCAGCCCCGCCUCCCUAGCAGCCGCUGCGCGGGCUGUCACCGGCACGUGCUCACGGCGCAGUCGACUCCUCCCACCCCACCAGCGGCUGCUCCCAUUGGCUGCUGACCGGCCCCUCGCUGGUUCCUUCCCUCCCCCCCCAGCUCGCACCCCGCGUCUCUGAUCUGGGCCGCGUCCCGCUCCAGCGCGUCCAGCAGCAGACAUCUCCUCCCCAAGAGCUGAUCACAAAAGUGGCAGCUGCAGAACAAUCCUGCAUUGGUCGGGACACGAUGGGCUGCUCUACUAGGUCUUAUCUGUGUUGCUGUGAAAGAAGCUGUACAAGGUGGUCAGUGUUUGGAGUGCAAUACAAGAAAUGACCUCACCAUGUUCAGCUGUACUAGAUGUUAUUUUUGGCUGCUCUACACGUCAAGAACUCUGGGGCUGCAAAAGUUGUCUGAGAACCAAGGGUAGUCUUAACCGUCACAUUCCUGAAAUGCUGAAAAUUAUCAAAAUUGUGGCCUUCUACAGCAAAUUUAUGUUAUAUGAGAGGAUUUCUUGGUUUCUUCCAAAGGAAAAACAACAUAUACUUUCUUUGAAUUGGCAGUACCUUUGACUCCUGAGAGGGAAACCAUUCUGCUGGGAGGGCAAGGGCAGCACUGCAGAGACAGACAGAGAAGGCCGCCAUAGGACCUGCUCAUUGGCAUGAACAGGAGGAAUCAGGAGCAGUUUGAGUUCCUCAGGCAUAGAAGGAUCAGGCUCUUCAGCAGGAAGAAACACUGAUGAACUGGUUCCUGGAGCAGGAGGUGUGCUUAGGGAAUCAGACAUUCCCAUAGGGAAAAGGAGCAUUUCCUGAUGCUCAUAGAACUGGUAGCUGAACAAUUUCGGAGUCUGUUUGCUGUCAUGGUCACAGCACCUCUCUGUGAACCAGCCCUAACUCCUCCUCCUCCGACUGCCACCCGGGGUGCUGGUGAGGCAGAGGACCCAAGCCUCCUGAGAAUGGAAGGAGCCUGUAGGACUCCGAGGACCACACCCUCUGCUAGCAGCCAAAACUCCUCACAGCAGGACCCCACCGAGCAUCCAAGUGAGGAACGAUGAGCCUGUGGGAAUCCCUGAAACCACCGAGUGCCUGCCCCCCAGAUUACACACACAAAAUGUCCCCAAGAGCAGUUUUCCACAGUCAUUCCCCCCUUUUUUAGGUGGUGGGGGAGGGCAUGCAAAUACAUAAAUAUUUGAUCGUUUUUUACAAAUUCAGUCCCGUUACAUUUUGUUGCUUUACUCCUUUUAAAAAUAUUUCAACUACAUGUUUCAUAUACUACUUAUAAUAAAUGUCAUCAUUUCCUUGA